UCCCGCAACGAGCGCAACCCCUAUCUUUAGUUGCCAUCAGGUUGGGCUGGGCACUCUAGAGAGACUGCCGGUGACAAGCCGGAGGAAGGUGGGGAUGACGUCAAGUCCUCAUGGCCCUUAUGUCCUGGGCUACACACGUGCUACAAUGGCGGUGACAGUGGGAAGCUAGGUGGUGACACCAUGCUGAUCUCUAAAAGCCGUCUCAGUUCGGAUUGCACUCUGCAACUCGAGUGCAUGAAGGUGGAAUCGCUAGUAAUCGCGGAUCAGCAUGCCGCGGUGAAUACGUUCCCGGGUCUUGUACACAC
rnacentral:rRNA from 1 species